GACGAACCGCCCGAACGUUAUUCGGAAUCACUGGGCUUAAAGGGCGCGUAGGCGGGCCGGCAAGUCAGGGGUGAAAGCCCGCAGCUCAACUGCGGAAGGGCCUCUGAUACUGCCAGUCUGGAGGGAGGUAGGGGCGUGCGGAACUUCCGGUGGAGCGGUGAAAUGCGUAGAUAUCGGAAGGAACACCGGUGGCGAAAGCGGCGCGCUGGACCUCUUCUGACGCUGAGGCGCGAAAGCCAGGGGAGCAAACGGG
rnacentral:misc_RNA from 1 species